UCCAUCCACCCCCCGCCUCCUUUCUUUCUUUCUUUCUCUCCCUCCCACGCCCUCCUCUCGCGACCCCGAUCCCGAUCCAGAUCACGAUCCCAACCCCGCCGCCAACGAUAUCCUCCUCCCCCCCAGCGCCGCCGACCCCACCUUCAAUUCCUCUCCCAAGGGAAGGGAAGGGAAGGCCAGCCGGGGAGAUCGUUCGCGCGCCCAUAUCCACGCCACCGUCGUCGACCUGAUCCGCGUCCGUCCUCGAGGGAGGUCGGCCAUGGUGGUCCGCGCUCGUCCCACCUUCCACCCUGUUCCUUCCAUUCGCGGUCCACGCCACCGCGGGAGUCAGGGAGCGUCGUGCCCUGCCCGCCGCGCAUGACCAACCGUCGCCGCCGGAGAAUCUCCAACCUAAGAAGCUGCAAUGACGGAGAUCACACGCUCCUUCGACCAGGCGCGGCCAGCCUCCAUCUCCGGCCACUUUGGCCUCGCCCCCGACCUUGCUCGUUGCUCCUUCGACCACACGCUCCGCCGCGAGGUGAAUGGAGCUUGUGUUGUUGGUAGAACAUCAUUGAUGACUUCUUCCUAUGUUGAAGAGCAUGUUCCGUGGUAUCCAAGAGUAGCUAGCUUUAACUUGGCAGAGCAUUUUAUUUUUCAAUCGCAAUAUUUGUGAUUGUCUGGAAUAUUGUAUGGUUAUGUACGUGAAGUUUUAAGUUCCUGGGCAUGCAAUAUUUGUAGUUUAAACUGGUUGUUGUGAUGUGAACGAAUGUAUGGAGUUUCACAUGUUCUAUUCUGUACAUAAUAUAUUGUAAUAAACCUAUUUUGGUUGUUAUUCGAAGAUUUUCAUAUUCU